rnacentral:misc_RNA from 1 species
AGCUUCCAGGAGGAAGAGGCGGUGCGAUCUAGGAGAAGUGCUUCCGGAAACUGUUUCAGCGCGACCUGGCUGGAUUUAUGAGAGUAUGGCUUGGGUACCACAACUUCCGGUGCGCCUUUCUUUACAGUUCGUAAGGUUCAUAGGCGGGUGGUCCUGGGCUCCAGGAACCACUGCAACUUGGGGAGUUGGAUAUCACUUCUGAUGAAUUCAUCCUGGAUGAAGUGGAUGUUCACAUUCAGGCAAAUCUGGAGGAUGAGUUAGUAAAGGAAGCUCUUAAAACGGGUGUAGAUCUCCGUCACUAUUCAAAGCAAGUUGAGCUGGAGCUACAGCAGAUUGAACAGAAAUCCAUUCGGGAUUAUAUUCAAGAGAGUGAGAAUAUAGCAUCUCUACACAACCAGAUCACAGCCUGUGAUGCUGUCCUGGAGCGAAUGGAGCAGAUGUUGGGAGCUUUUCAGAGUGACCUCAGCUCCAUCAGCUCUGAGAUCCGGACACUGCAGGAACAGUCAGGAGCCAUGAACAUUCGACUUCGAAAUCGCCAGGCAGUUCGGGGGAAACUUGGGGAGCUUGUUGAUGGUCUGGUGGUGCCUUCUGCUCUGGUCACGGCAAUUCUGGAGGCUCCAGUGACAGAGCCCAGGUUCUUGGAGCAGCUACAGGAGCUGGAUGCCAAGGCAGCCGCAGUCAGAGAGCAGGAAGCUAGAGGCACAGCAGCCUGCGCAGAUGUCAGAGGCGUGCUCGAUCGGCUCCGGGUCAAGGCAGUGACGAAGAUCCGAGAGUUUAUCCUCCAGAAGAUUUAUUCCUUCAGGAAACCCAUGACCAACUAUCAGAUCCCCCAGACGGCCCUGCUGAAGUACAGGUUCUUCUAUCAGUUUCUGCUGGGCAAUGAACGAGCAACAGCAAAGGAGAUCAGGGAUGAAUAUGUGGAGACGCUGAGCAAGAUUUACCUGUCUUACUACCGCUCUUACCUGGGGCGGCUCAUGAAGGUGCAGUAUCCAUUUGAGGCCCUCUUCCGCAGCCAGCACUACGCCCUCCUAGACAAUUCCUGCCGCGAAUACCUUUUCAUCUGUGAAUUUUUUGUUGUGUCUGGCCCAGCUGCACACGACCUGUUCCAUGCUGUCAUGGGCCGUACACUCAGCAUGACCCUGAAACACCUGGAUUCUUAUCUAGCUGACUGCUACGAUGCCAUUGCUGUUUUUCUCUGUAUCCACAUUGUUCUCCGGUUCCGUAACAUUGCAGCAAAGAGGGAUGUUCCUGCCCUGGACAGGUACUGGGAACAGGUGCUUGCCUUGCUAUGGCCACGGUUUGAACUGAUCCUGGAGAUGAAUGUUCAGAGCGUCCGAAGCACUGACCCCCAGCGCCUAGGGGGGUUGGAUACUCGGCCCCACUAUAUCACACGCCGCUAUGCAGAGUUCUCCUCCGCUCUUGUCAGUAUCAACCAGACAAUUCCUAAUGAACGGACCAUGCAAUUGCUGGGACAGCUGCAGGUGGAGGUGGAGAAUUUUGUCCUCCGAGUGGCAGCUGAGUUCUCCUCAAGGAAGGAGCAGCUUGUGUUUCUGAUCAACAACUAUGACAUGAUGCUGGGUGUGCUGAUGGAGCGGGCUGCAGAUGACAGCAAAGAGGUUGAGAGCUUCCAGCAGCUGCUCAAUGCUCGGACACAGGAAUUCAUUGAAGAGUUGCUGUCUCCCCCUUUUGGGGGUUUAGUGGCAUUUGUGAAGGAGGCUGAGGCUUUGAUUGAGCGUGGACAGGCUGAGCGACUUCGAGGGGAAGAAGCCCGGGUAACUCAGCUGAUCCGUGGCUUUGGUAGUUCCUGGAAAUCAUCAGUGGAAUCUCUGAGUCAGGAUGUAAUGCGGAGUUUCACCAACUUCAGAAAUGGCACCAGUAUCAUUCAGGGAGCGCUGACCCAGCUGAUCCAGCUCUAUCAUCGCUUCCACCGGGUGCUGUCCCAGCCGCAGCUCCGAGCCCUCCCUGCCCGGGCUGAGCUCAUCAACAUUCACCACCUUAUGGUGGAGCUCAAGAAGCAUAAGCCCAACUUCUGAUGUGCCAGAAACCGCCCUGAGAUCUGCCGGUCAUCUCCAUGGACUUCUGCACCCCAUUCCAUACCCUUCUUCACCUGGGGUACCCCUUCCAGUUUUCCCCUUGCUUCCCAGGCCCUUGACAUGGCUUACCUGCCUUCACUCCCAGCACCUUGCCCAACAGGAUAAGCUGGAUCCCCUUGGCCUUCUGAAUAUCCCAGUGUCUUCAGGUUUCCCAAGACCACUUCCCUGUGGGCUUCCAAAAUGGCCUUUAUCAUUUCUCCAGUCUGUCACCCUCCUUUCCUGCUCCCAUACACCCAAGGCUUGUUUCUUCCCCUGUAAAAACCACUGCCUCAAUCUCUGGUUCACUCAACUAGUCACCAUGUCCUGAGGCAUGAAGCCUCCUCAGCUCUUGGAAUUGCUGGCAAGGGGUGACUGCCUCUGAGUCAUUGUGUUUUUCAGAGUGAUUUCUUUUCUGUAGCUUUUUGACCUAAGAUCUCAGCAAUUUGAACACUAACCUCUCCCCUCCUGGCUCAAGAAUUACUCCGAAGUCAGUCUGCAGAAAAUAAAUAUUUAGUAUGACAUGACACUUA